CUUCUGGUUGGAGAUUCCUUUCUUGGGGAGUUUUUUUUUUUCCUGCAAGCCUGGAUGUUCAGAUAUGGAAGUAUUUGAACACGGAAAGAAAGAUGCCUUUACUGUCCUUUUUGAAGAUGUCCAGCAAACUUUUGUAGUAAUUGAAGGAAGAGAUGUACUUCGGCUCCUUUGAAUGGAUUUUCAACUGCAGGAGACAGGAGAGGCUGUUGCUGCUGAACAAUGCUGCUGUUUGGAACCUCAUAGCUGUUCAUCUACAGUGCCUCGUCUGCUUUAGAUGCUCUCAAACACACUGAGCAAUGGUUCUCAACAGGGAAUAACCUGAGAUUAAAGGAGAAGGGAUCAUGUUCUGUGGGGGGAACAACCACAGGAAUUACGUGUGUUUGCAGAACACGCAGUGGUUCAAGCUUUGGAUACUUGAGUCACUUCAGAGCACAGCAUGACUUUCAUUCACACUGUUAUCUCAUGUUUCAAUUCUCUGUGUCAGGAGGACAGAACAUAUUGGUAAACAGAGCAUCUUGUUUUCUACAGUGGAAAAGAUAAAUCUGUAGUGUUGUAACACAGACAGCUAAAGCUUGCUUGGCAUCGAUAAUCCCGAACAAUAUCUGUCAACCAGAAAUCACGCACAAAAGAAGUCUGCUACCUGCAAUUGGAAGACGUAGUCAGUGAUGCCCUGUCCCAGCACUGAGCCACAAAUGGAAAUGGAGCACAGUCUACAGAAUGGUACGGGCUGAGAUAAGUGAGGUGGUGUUGUAAUAAACACAUACUUGGACAAAAUUGCUGUUAGAGUUUGCAUUUUUUUAAAGACCAAUUCAGUUCCUGCCACCGAUGAAAAUGUGAAAAGCUAGCCUUAGCUGGGCUUUCUGUAAUUGCUUGGUAACCUUCUGGGUUAUUGUAGGGAUUGGGAUUGCAGUUUCUUUUGUAGCAGUAUCAUCCCUCCUCUCUCUCCCCAUUUUAUGAUGCAAGUAUCUUUGCUCCUUUACGUUAUUGCUUUUAUGUGCAUACAAAGAACCAAUUCCUCAGAGUAGUAAAUAAAAACCUGCAGGGAAGAUAUUCACUUUUAUUUACUUACUUACUUGGUUUGACAUUUUCAUGUGAAUAAACUACUGUACCAGCACUGAGUUGAUCUCAUGCAAGUUUACAAAGGAAAAAAAUUAAUUUGAUUGACAUGAUGAAGAAGUGAAAGAAAAUAAUGGAAGCCAACCUACAGGGGAAAGGAUUUAGCUUUUUUUUUUUAUUCAUUCUAAAAAUCGUAUAUACUGGUGAGUUCAAAGAAAAUUAAGUUGCAGUUAGCAGUAUUAGUUGCUAAUGAAAUACAUUAUUUCCUGAUUUAUCAGAUUAUUUUGUUACCCUUUAUAAGGUGACAUGAAGAAAAUGUGAGCGUACAAAUUAUUUUUUUCUUUUUAUGGUGGAGUGAUUCUUGUUAUUCUUGCUGUUUCUAGACGCUGGGAAGAGUUAUCAGUCUUGAAUUUGCCUCAGAUCACAAGACCAAGUCACCAAGUGUUCUGUCUUUGUAUACUUGAUAGGAGAGUAAAUCAUAUCCAGUGAAUUAAUUGUAAAGGGUACAUUAAUUGUCAUGUAAGUGUGGUUAAAUUGUAUUAAUUCAAUUUCCAAAACCUAUCUCCUACUAAAUCUGUUCUGGAUUUGUGCAUUCUUCCUGCCUCUGUGGUGUCUUCCCUCUAAUUCCUUCAAAGUCAGUUCUGCUACAAAUAUUUAUGCAUCACAGAGAAAACCAAGGUUACUUUAUAGAGCAAUAUCUAAGACUCAUUUGUAUCCUUUGGAUCUCCACAACAGGAGUAUAAGGUUUUGAUGCAAUAAAUUUUUAUAUUUAGUAAGUAUUUGGCACAACUCUGGAGAUGAUUUUUAUAAGAGCUUUGGGGAUAAAAAUAUGAAUAAUCCAAAUUAUUAAUUGAAAUAUUACUUUCUGUAGAAUAUAUGGUUCAAGUUCUCUGUGCGCUGUGGUGAGAUAUCUUUUUACUUGGGCUUAGGCUGUCCUAACAGUAUGAGUGCAUGACACUGUGUGUUAGUUUUGCACGAGGAAGUUAAUGCGAAGAAAGGAAUGCCAGAACAUGCAACAGCUCAGUACUGCUUAGAAAACCAUCUAGUCUUAGAAUAAUAUAGGCUGCAACAUUUAGAUACCACUUGAAGCUUUCAAGGGUUCAGAGUGUUAAUUUCAAUUGCUUACUGAGUGAAUAAAAUUAUACUGUAAAAUAAAAUAGGAAUUUCUUCUGAAGUAUUAAGAUGCAUUGUAUUUCAGAUGUGUACUGCAUAAUUAAUCUUAUGCUGGAACUUUGAAAAUAUUUUUGAAUUAAUAAAUCUGAACGUUCGCUCAGUUGGAGCGACUACAAAUAUUACAAAUUUAUAGACUUUUCUAUCGACGAUUACAAAUAUAUCGACUACAAAUGCUCCUUGCCAGAGUGUAACGUUAGUUGGCUUAUUAUAGAUCAAAGUAGACAAUAAAGCAUAUUCAGACCUUCCUGAAUUUCAGAAAUGCUGAGUUAUGUGGCAGUUAGGUCCAUCUCUACUCUCUAUAUACUCUAGUAUAUCAGGUUGGCACUGGCCUGGAAAUAACUUGUUUCAUUACGACACAUUUACAGAGAAUAGUAAUAAUAUUCAUAAAAACAAUCAAUAAAGAAAUCAACCUAAUUUCUCUGUAGAAGAAAAUUCCUAAUUAAGCUGUAUGUGUUUGGGGAACUCGAAUUUGGCUGUGACUCUCAGAAUUAUGGUACUGGAUGCUGACUGAGACAGUU